CGGCAACGGAUAUCUCGGCUCUCGCAUUGAUGAAGAACGUAGCGAAAUGCGAUACUUGGUGUGAAUUGCAGAAUCCCGUGAACCAUCGAGUCUUUGAACGCAAGUUGCGCCCGAAGCCAUCAGGCCGAGGGCACGCCUGCCUGGGCGUCACACGCCGUUGCCCCC
rnacentral:rRNA from 1 species